CAGCAGCCGCGGGAAUACGUAGGUGGCAAGCGUUGUCCGGAAUUAUUGGGCGUAAAGGGCUCGCAGGCGGUUUCUUAAGUCUGAUGUGAAAGCCCCCGGCUCAACCGGGGAGGGUCAUUGGAAACUGGGAAACUUGAGUGCAGAAGAGGAGAGUGGAAUUCCACGUGUAGCGGUGAAAUGCGUAGAGAUGUGGAGGAACACCAGUGGCGAAGGCGACUCUCUGGUCUGUAACUGACGCUGAGGAGCAAAAGCGUGGGGAGCGAACAGGAUUAGAUACCCGCGUAGUCCCUGUCUCUUAUAC
rnacentral:rRNA from 1 species